rnacentral:lncRNA from 1 species
UGGGACUACAGGCACCCACCACCACAACUGGCUAAUUAAAAAAAAGGUUUUUUUUAGAGACGGGGUCUUGCUAUAUUGACCAGGCUGGUCCCUAAUCCUUGGGCUUAAGCAGUCUUCCCACACACUGAGAUUACAGGAGUGAGCCACCCUGCUCGACCUCAAAAUCCUUUGAAAAGACUUGAUCCAAAUUCAACUUCUAGGGUUAGAGCUCAAGAAAGUAACUGGUCAAAUGUGCAAAGAUGUUUGUAUAAGGAUGUUUAUCACUGUAAAGUUUAUUGACACAGAAGCAACCUAAAGUGCAACAAGAGGGGACUGGCUGAAUAAAUCCUGCUCUAUUUCUGUAGCACAGUACCUCACAGCCAUGACCAAUGCUGAUGAGGGUUUACUGACAUGAAAAACAUUGCCCAACUAUAGCAACAAGCAAGAAAAGAUUAUAAAACAAUAUGUUUGGAUUUAUUUUUGGAAAAAUGGUAUUGAAAAAUGAUAUCCACAAACAAGCAUGCAGAGAGAAAAGUCUGAGUGGUUCCACCAAAUGUUGGUAGCAGUUACCUCUGAAAAGAGGAAUUGUGGGGGAUUCUCUGCAUAAAAGAUAAACUCUGAAGGUCUUUGCACAUUCUAGGCACUUGGCCCUGCUUUCAGACAGUGAAACUGAAUCUUGGAAGUCUAAAGGGACUCAGGGACUCAAGUGUGAUUGUGAGCUCCUAAAGGGUUGUGAACAGAGUGAAUGGAGAACAGGAGUGGAAGGGAAGCUUUUCCAAUGAUGCCUUUCUACACACUUUAAAUUUUAUCAAACGCAAGUAAACCUCCCUCUUGAUUGCCUUCUCCUCUUGGGUCCUGUCUUUACUUCUGUCCACCACUUCCUUACCGGGGUGACUGCCGGCAGGACUUGGGGUUUGUCUUUCCCACUUGGCAUCUAAAUCGAAAUCCUUUACCCUUUGAGCCCAUAUUAGUUCUUCUUUCCCGCUAAUGUCUAAACUGACCUAGAAAUAAAAAACUUUUCUUCCUCCCUCUCCCCCUCCUUCCUUCUCUUUCUCUCCUUCUCCUCCCAUCCCUCACCCCACACAAAGGCAUUCUGUGUGUGAAACAUUAAAAAGGGUUCCCUUCCUUACUUGAAUAAACCUGCCCACUCAGCCUCAAGGCUGCUCCCAGAGAUGUCCUCGGGUAACUUGGAGACUGUGAACAGUGCCAAAAAACACACAAUAUCAUGAUAACUUCCCAGACUCCAAGUUCCAGUGAGGCUAAACUAGAAGAGGACAGUGAUGUGACUGCUUCUUGGUCAGAAGAAAAACUUGAAGUGAAAGUGCUCUUUGUUUCCUGGGGACAAAAGUUAAAAAGGAACAAGGAGAAUUCCCGUGAAGGUCAGUUUCUCCUUCCAGAUUUUGUGGCAGAGAAACUAGUGAAUUUCAAGUUCCUUGUGUUAAGUAAGUUUAGCCUACUGCUUCCUUACAUAUUUUAAAUUCGUCCUAAAGGGUUCUCUGUACUCCACAAACUGUAACCUAAAUGGGCUUGUAAAUGGACUAUAGCCUACUCUUUGCCACUCACCAUGUUUUGACCAAUCAAAGGUGGCCCAGUGUUCAAACCAUGUUCAAAUAAGGCAAACGUCGAGCUGGAACCAAUCCGGCUGUUUCUGUGGCUUACUUCCACCUUCCAUACACUGCUUAUCAUUUUGUGUCCAUAAAUCAUCUUCCACCACAUGGGUGCACUGGAGUCUCUGAGCCUAUUCUGGCUCAGGAGGCCGCCUGAUUCACGAAUCAUUUUUUGCUCAAAGUCUUUUAAAUUUAAUUUGGCUAAAGUUUUUCUUUUAACACCUACAAUGCUAAGAUUCUUUGUUUCCAAGUGACACUGUGUGGACUCACCUACCCCCAGCCACCACCUUGUCAGGUUUUCAAAGUAUCCAGCACUGCAGUUCCACAGUCAUCCCUGCAGUGAAACCAGACUCAAGGGCACCCUGUGGCCACUGACAGCUGAGACCCCUGAGAGCCUGUAUUACAUGCAUGUCCUUGAUGAAAGCUGGGUGGGGCUGUAAAAAAGUGAAAAAUCUGUUUUCCUUCUAAAAACUAUUUCCUGCAGGAAUUUCCUGGUUUGUUCCUGUGGAAAAUAUGGAGUCUAGAUCGAAGAAGGAAAACAUGCCUCUAGGGAGGCCACAUGCCCAAGACUUGUGGCCCUGGCGUCUCCUGGUUUGAACUCCUUGGCGUCCCUGGUUUGAACCACACAUUUCUUGGGGAAAUCUCUAAGUCUGGGAGACAGAGCUAGGCCUCCCUGCACGCCUUUACGCCAGGCCUGGGGAAGAGAGAGGAAACCAUCUGAGUGCCUGCAUGGCUUCCAGCCUUGCAGGAACAGGGAGACCUGCUUAAGGGUGUGUCUUUCCGCGUUUGCCCAUGAGGAAGCAGGCCUCUGCCACUGGGAGAAGGUAGCAUGAGAAAGACCUGCAUUGGAAUCUGGCUCCAUGCCUUUCUAGCUGUGUGACCUUGGGCAUGUCACUUAACCUCUCUGAGCCUCCACUUCUUCAUCUAUAGAACAGGGGAGAAGAAAACCUGCCUUCUAGAGUUGUUUUGAAGAUUGAAUGAAAUAACUUUUAUAAAGCCUUGAUAGAUGAACUACCCACCCCUCCUCCCUCUGUUCCCUUUUCCUGGCUCUCUCAGCUUCUUGGUGCAUUGAGGGGGCACCUACCGCAGGCAGGCCACAUAUCCAACACUUUAGUCCUUCUCCAGGGACCAUACAUCACAGAAAUCCUGUGUCCAAGCACAAGUUUCAGCAAAGACUCCUUCCCCCUUGAUAACAAGUGUUUAGGUUGCUGACGGGGCAUAAGAGCCAAGCACAAAAAACAGCCCAGCCUCCAGAUCCCAAGGAAGGUGCAUGCUCAGAGCACUGUCCUUCCACCCAGUCCCCUCACCUGUCACCACAAGAGCCUUGAGCGUCCAUGGAGCUUCAGCUCUCAGCCACUCAUUGGCAUCCAGGAGAUAGUGUCCAGGACCCGUCCAUCCCUGGAAAGCAGGCUGGCUGCCCCCUCAUUGCUUGGCUCCUUAAUUUUUGAUAAUCAUAAACCCUAGGGUCAAAGAGCUGGGCUGUAACACAAUAGGGAGUGCAUUCCCCAGUGUAUUCCCCCGUGUGGUCACAGGGAAUGAGCCUGGAGCAAGGGAGCCCAGCAGGCUGAGAAUCUGCAGUGUGCUGGGCCUGGGCUUGGCAUGAAGGCACGAGAUGUCGGAGGCGUGGCUGCCACCCAGGAGGACACACCUGAUGGGGCUCCAGGAACAGGACAAUGGUGGAGACGUCACAUCCAGAAUAACUUUGUUAGGAGACUGAACUUGACAGUCAGGAGUUUUACAUUGCAGGUAUCAAAAAGCCACCUAAAAUUGCCUUAAGUAAUAGAGGUGAUCUAAUGGCUCAAAAAACCACCAACUCUAGGAAGACAGACAGGGUGACCUGAAAGUGGGUUUCACCUGGUGUUUUUCUGCCAUUCUGUGCAUGGCGUCAGCUUCCUCCCAAGACUGGCACUGCAUAGGACAUCGGGUGUUUGCCAACCCAGUUGAAGCUCUCUGCUUCCUUGCUCACCACCAGCAGAAAGGUGAGGGCUAUGCCCUGCAUUCCAGGUGACAGGGAAGGUUUACAUCGGGACUCAGUCACACUUUCUGGGUACUGUACAUUUCAUAGCAGGAGCCAGGUUAUACUAAAGGAGUCCUGGCCUGAGGAUACCAGCACCCUAUAGAGAUGGAGAACCCCAGGCAGCUCAGGGGCUGAGGGGCUGAGUGACAGUGAGCACUGCCCACAGAGGGGGCACUCUGAAGUCAGGAGGGGUGGGAAACAGGUGCAGAUCGGCAGCCGGCAGAGGCCCACCCAGGUGAGCACAGGUGGACCUGAUGGUGGAUGGGGACAAAGAGUGUGCUGGUUGGGAGGAGAAGGCGGGGGCCUGUAGCUGGUCUGGGAAUUCCCAAGCUGAGCAAACGGUAUGUCAAGGCCUGUGGUUGGGCUUGUUAACAUAAACACCACACUCUUAAAUGAUCUGUAAGAGGUAUCUUCUGAGCCAAUAUGAGUGACCAUGGCCUGGGGAUCUCAAGAGGUCCUGAAAACGUGUGCCGGGGCCGUCGUUUUCUACAUUUGAGGGGACAGGAAUUGGAGUAACAUCAUAAAUCAAUCCAUGGAAGGUGUACAUUGACUCGGCCUAACAAGGUGGGAUAUCUUGAAGUCGGGGGUGUUAUAGGUCAUAGGUGGAUUCAAAGAUUUUCCGAUUGGCAAUUGGUUGAGAGUUCAGCUUUGUCUAAAGACGUGAAGUUGGUACAAAGGAAUGCUUCAGUUCAGAGAGAGGGUCUGCCUCUGCCACGUGAUGCUGUCCCAGAGUCAGGUAGGAAAGUCAGCCACAGUAUCCUCAGUGAUUUUACAACCCAUUGAAGGAGACUCUGUGGUUUCUAGGUGUGUGUUAAUUCUUGCCUUGCAUGGCCUCAGGUCUUGUUCAUAAUCUGUAACUGAUUGUCCAGAGUCCAGUCUGAAUAAUCUAACUAUGCCUAUUUUAUACUCCAAAGGUGCAGGGCUUUCAUGAGGUGUCUCUGACCUCCCCUUCCACCAUGGCCAGGAAUUCAUUUUCAAGUUUCCCUGGGGUCCCCUUGACUAAGAGGGGGCCUGUUCCAUUGGUUGGGGUCUCAGGAUUGCAGGCCUUAGGGCAGCCUCACAGCAUGGUGCAGGGCGCUUGGUUGGGUUUUCCUGAACCCUGAACCCCAUGGCUCAUAGGAUAAGGGAACUGUGGGCCACCCGGAUUCUGCUGAGAUUCCUUUCCCCAGGUGCAGAUGCGGGUUUGGCCUUGGCCCUUUCUGUUCCUUUCAGAAGCCCACGGAGUGGAGGACAGAACGGUUUGGGGUCAGGGACAGAGGCUCCUGUCACUGAGACUGCCCUCAGUGGGACAGAGGGAAGAGACUAUUGAUGCAGUUCGUCUGCCUCUCUGUGACACUGAUGUGUAGGCCCAGUAAUUAAAGUCCACUCCUGGCAGCCAGCCUUGAACAUAGAACUGAUCGGCCACACAGAAAACCUGAAACAAAGCCUCUAAAAUGCAGCCUCUCAAAAACGCUCACAGGAGUUUUCUUAAUCAGACUUAGCGUAGCCAGUGAGCUUCUGUUGCCUGCGGUGACGUGGGUGCUAUUGUUCCCACUAAAAGCCCAGACCUCUGCCUCAGGAGACAGGGCUCAGCUGCAGCCUCCUCAACUAAAACAUGAAGGGCUGCUUCGUGGGCGCCAAAGCGGCUCCUUAAACUCGCAAUGGUGUGCAAAUUUAUGGGCUCACUUUCUACAUCAGAUCUUCAAAGGUCUCUGUGAUUCCAAAAGCUUGGGAACUAUUAAAUUUGAUCAUUUCUGAAAUGUCUUCCAGUUUAAAAGUCUUCAGUUCCAGUUCAUUUUCAAUUCCUGAAUAAAGGGAUGAGUCUUGGAGCUUCUGGAAGCUGGCCUGGAACUGAGCACUUGCUGCAGACAAUGCCUGAAGUGCAAACCCAAAGGUGCGUGGAUCUGGGCUGCAUGUGAAAGCUUUCAUAUUCAGGUCUUACUUUGCGACAGUGAGGGGUGACCAGGGAAGCCUAUAUGAGGGGCAGGGGCAAACCAGCAGCCCAGCCUGGGGAGGUGCCUUAACCACAUCUCACCUCACUUCCUCGAGCUAAAGUUUUCUUUAAGGGAAAUGCAGGUUUAUGCAAAAUACUAAGCAAGCUGAGUGGCUGGUUUUUUUUUUUUUUUUUUAAAGCAAUAAGGAAAAAACAGAAAUUUUCACACCAAAGACCCUGUGUUGGGCUCGGAAGAACUGGUGGCUUAACUGAGGAGUCACGGAACACUGCUCUCGGAAACUGUUAGGGCAAUUGAAAAAAAAAAAAAAGAAUAAAGACAAUGAAGAGGCUUAAUUCUCCCUGUUAAAAACAAGGGAAGCGGAGGGCAGCCAAGAUGGCCGAAUAGGAACAGCUCUGGUCUACAGCUCCCAGCGUGAGUGACGCAGAAGACGGGUGAUUUCUGCAUUUCCAUCUAAGGUACCAGGUUCAUCUCACUAGGGAGUGCCAGACAGUGGGCACAGGACAGUGGGUGCAGUGCACUGUGCAUGAGCUGAAGCAGGGUGACGCAUUGCCUCACUCGGGAAGCGCAAGGGAUCAGGGAGUUCCCUUUCCUAGUCAAAGAAAGGGGUGACAGACAGCACCUGGAAAAUCGGGUCACUCCCACCCUAAUACUGCGCUUUUCCGAUGGGCUUAAAAAACGGCGCACCAGGAGAUUAUAUCCCGCACCUGGCUCGGAGGGUCCUACGCCCACAGAGUCUCGCUGAUUGCUAGCACAGCAGUCUGAGAUCAAACUGCAAGGUGGCAGCGAGGCUGGGGGAGGGGUGCCCACCAUUGCCCAGGCUUGCUUAGGUAAACAAAGCAGCCGGGAAGCUCAAACUGGGUGGAGCCCACCACAGCUCAAGGAGGCCUGCCUGCUUCUGUAGGCUCCACCUCUGGGGGCAGGGCACAGACAAACAAAAAGACAGCAGUAACCUCUGCAGACUUAAAUGUCCCUGUCUGACAGCUUUGAAGAGAGCAGGGGUUCUCCCAGCACGCAGCUGGAGAUCUGAGAACGGGCAGACUGCCUCCUCAAGUGGGUCGGGUCCCUGACCCCUGACCCCCGAGCAGCCUAACUGGGAGGCACCCCCCAGUAGGGGGUACUGACUGACACCUCACAUGGCCGGGUACUCCUCUGAGACAAAACUUACAGAGGAACGAUCAGACAGCAGCAUUUGUGGUUCACGAAAAUCCGCUAUUCUGCAGCCACUGCUGCUGAUACCCAGGGAAACAGGGUCUGGAGUGGACCUCUAGCAAACUCCAACAGACCUGCAGCUGAAGGUCCUGUCUGUUAGAAGGAAAACUAACAAACAGAAAGGACAACCACACCAAAAACCCAUCUGUACAUCACCAUCAUCAAAGACCAAAAGUAGAUAAAAC